GCCAAGAUUGCACCACUGCAUUCUAGCCUGGGUGACAGAGGAAGAAUCUGUCUCAAAAAAGAAACAAUGAAAGAAAACCACUGGAUGGAAAUCUCUCCCAGGCCAGCACCCUGUGAACCCUGAAGAUAACCCAGACACGUCACGCCCAGCCUGCAAGUGAUUGUCCUGGCACCAUGCACAACAAGUGCUACACAGGGGUCAGAUUCGGGCCACCCUUUCCUCAGUGGUCGAUGGUCCUGGCUGCCACCCAGGAAGCUCUGUUCCCAGGGAGCAGGUCUGAGAAGCAGUGGUGGAGUUCCCUGAGAUACUGUCAUUGCGCAGCCAGCAACAGCGGCACAGGAUUAGAGCACAGCCAGCCAGCGACUCACCUCCAUUUGAAGCCAUCCCCUCAGGCUGGGUGCUGAUCACCGCUGACAGUUUCCACAACGAGAAAAGUCAAGGGCAGGACCCAGAGAGUGACCUGCCUCAACAGAUUCUCCUGAGUUCAGGUAGGUCAGGGAAAAUUUGAAAAUAAAUAGGUUUAGAACAUAGGACCCCAGACAUUCUGCAGAGGGGGAGGGGCAGUGUAGCAGGUACUGGUAGGGGUGGGGGACAUUCUGUGAAGGGCUCCAGCCAAUAGGCAAGAACUGAGGUUCCCUUCCAGCUGGACGGCAGCAGCACAGACUGCGUGCGCCUCUUCAGGCAACUUUUAAAUUGUCCUUCAGACUCACAGCACAAAGCUUCAAACUGAUGUCCCCUUUACUUCCAUUCUUUGUCGACAGACCUACUUUUGUGCCCCUCAACCCAUGCUCCUUCCCACUUGGGCUUUUUCCCGCUCUUGAUGAAUCUCAACAGGGGCUGCACUUCCUAAACACAAUUUAGGACGCUUCCUAAGAACCCCUGUGUUUGUCAGAUGAUCCAUGUCUGGAUCCUCUGUCUGGUUCAGAUGAUCCAGGCCAUUAGGUGGCUGUGUGCUCAUCACUGUUAUGGAAGCCGUCCUUGAGCCCCCAGGUCGUGUAUGUUGCUGGAAUCUGUCCACACCAGCAGGCCAGCCUUACUUCCCAUCUCCUGUGCUGGAAAGCCUCAGUCCAGGAAAGAGCGGCUUUGCGGCCAGAAAGCCUUUCAUUUUGUUUCCCAGCGUAUUGUGCUGGUAUUAAAUGUUUAUUUUUUAAUCUUUCAAAUGAUUUUAAUUUAACCAAGCAAUACUUUUGCAUGGUUCCAAAUUCAAAUUGUGCACAGUGGAAUAGGCAGUGACCAGUCUUCCUCCCACCUCUUUCCCUGUCCACAACAUUUUCUUUCCUGGAGCAAACGGGUGUUUACUCCAGGAAAAGAUGAGAAUGAUAUUUUGAGAGAUGAGAAUCUUGGCCAGUGAUUUUAGAAGAAAAUGCAAACAAAAGAAAAAUGAGGUUUUCAACUGAAGGUACAUCUCUUCUUCAAUAUGAAGACAUUAACUGAAUUGGUUGGAUCCCCAUGCAGUGGUCAGCGAAGUUCUUUGGCAACUGACAGAACAAUAUCUGGAGACUCAGGAGCUGGGUUUUGUUUGAAGAAACUUCCCUACAGGAGUCAUGAGCAGAGGGAAACGAGUGUGGGAGAAAGGAGGGGACUCUCAGGGGGGAG